rnacentral:rRNA from 1 species
UGGGGAACCAGGACUUUUACUUUGAAAAAAUUAGAGUGUUCAAAGCAGGCCUACGCCCGAAUACAUUAGCAUGGAAUAAUAGAAUAGGACGCGCGUUCCCAUUUUGUUGGUUUCUGAGAUCGCCGUAAUGAUUAAUAGGGAUAGUUGGGGGCAUUUGUAUUCCGUCGUCAGAGGUGAAAUUCUUGGAUUGAUUGAAGACUAACUACUGCGAAAGCAUUUGCCAAGGAUGU